rnacentral:rRNA from 1 species
AACGAACGCUGGCGGCGUGGAUAAGACAUGCAAGUCGAACGCUGAUCACGGGGUAGCAAUAUUCCGUGGUUGGAGUGGCGUAAGGGUGCGUAACACGUGGGCAAUCUGCCGUGAAGUCCGGGAUAACCCGCUGAAAGGCGGGCUAAUACCGGAUGUGAAGAUCGGGUGGCAUCAUUUGAUUUUCAAAGUUGGGGACCGUAAGGCCUGACGCUUCAUGAUGAGCCCGCGGCCUAUCAGCUAGUUGGUGAGGUAACGGCUCACCAAGGCUAAGACGGGUAGCUGGUCUGAGAGGACGACCAGCCACACUGGAACUGAGACACGGUCCAGACACCUACGGGUGGCUG